rnacentral:ribozyme from 1 species
GCUGCUCUGAUAAUCACACACCUCUCCGUGGUGGGCAGCAGGCAACGGUCUUAUGGCCGGCGAAGAUGUGAAA